rnacentral:rRNA from 1 species
GGAUUAGAUACCCUGGUAGUCCACGCCGUAAACGAUGUCUACUAGCCGUUGGGGUCCAUGAGGCCUUAGUGGCGCAGCUAACGCAGUAAGUAGACCGCCUGGGGAGUACGGCCGCAAGGUUAAAACUCAAAUGAAUUGACGGGGGCCCGCACAAGCGGUGGAGCAUGUGGUUUAAUUCGAAGCAACGCGAAGAACCUUACCAAGACUUGACAUCCUGAUAACUUAGCAGAAAUGCUUUGGUGCCUUCGGGAAAUCAGUGACAGGUGCUGCAUGGCUGUCGUCAGCUCGUGCUG